CAUAGUAAAGCGAGGGACACUAGUGCCACUUAGCGGUACAACGUGUCCUCGUAUUUUUAUGCAAAAAUAUGCAGUUUGCUGGCUUGGACCAGCCAGUUCAGCGUGCUUAUUGGACAGAACAUGCAGUUUACUCGCUGAGCAGCAUGCGUAAUGCGAUAUGCGCAAGGACAGAAACUUCAAAGGAUCGACGUAAGUGGCACUACUGUCCCUCCCUAUACAGCGAUAUAACUAGCCUAAUCAAUUAGUUGGCUCUGCU